AACUAGAGAGUAGAUCCCACUCGCCACAACUAGAGAAAAGCCUGUGCAGCAAAAAGAUCCAGCGCAACCAAAAAUAAAAAAUAAAUAAAUUUGGAAAAAAAAUGCACAACCUGAGGACACAACAGACCAACUCCCAUGGAGGCAUACUUUACAAAACCGCUGGCUAGCACUCAAGAGCAUGAAGGCCACGGCCGAGUAGGAUGAAGGUGCUGUCCCAGCUGGAGAGACUAAGGAAACAUGUGCUACGGUGAUCCUGGAUUGUCUCUGGACCAGAUGGGGAACUUGAUGAAAUCUGAAUGAGACAGGAAUGAGGCUGCGCCCAGGAAGAGAGGCAGUGAGCACGUGGAAACCUGGAAAGGCAUCCAGGCCGAGGAGCUGCAAACCCCAACCCCUCAGGUUGGGAGCAUGCCUGGAUAGUCUACCUCCUGGGAUGUUCACAACAGACUACAGAGCGCAAGAGUGGAGGCAGGGAGACCAUUGAGGAGACUACUGCAAACCAGGCAAGGGCUGAUGCGGGCUUGGAGCAGGGUGAGGGAGACAUGGGGAGAAGCGGUCAGAAUCUGCAUGUGUGUGGAAGGCUUUGCUGAUGGAGUGGGUGCGAGUAUGAGAGAGACAGAGGUCAGGACUGACUCCAAGGUUUUCAGCUUGAACAAUGAUGAAACUGUCAUGAAUUCAAGUGAAGAAGACUAUGGGAGGAGAAAAGAUCGAGGACUUACUAGUUUUCGACCCAUGAGGAGAGAGAUGCCUAUUACACAGCCCAGUAGAGGAGCUGAGUGGACAAUUGAGUAUGUGUCUGGGGGUCGAUUUAUUGUUGCUUAGUUGCUCAGUCAUGUCCGACUCGUUCGCGAGCCCAUGGACUGUAGACAGCCAGGCUCCUCUGU